AUUGAACGCUGGCGGCAGGCCUAACACAUGCAAGUCGGACGGUAGCACAGAGGAGCUUGCUCCUUGGGUGACGAGUGGCGGACGGGUGAGUAAUGUCUGGGGAUCUGCCCGAUAGAGGGGGAUAACCACUGGAAACGGUGGCUAAUACCGCAUAACGUCGCAAGACCAAAGGGGGGGACCUUCGGGCCUCUAACUAGCGGCUGAACCCAGAGGGGAUUAGCUAGUAGGCGGGGGAAUGGCCCACCUAGGCGACGAUCCAUAGCUGGUCUGAGAGGAUGACCAGCCACACUGGAACUGAGACACGGUCCAGACUCCUACGGGAGGCAGCAGUGGGGAAUAUUGCACAAUGGGCGCAAGCCUGAUGCAGCCAUGCCGCGUGUAUGAAGAAGGCCUUCGGGUUGUAAAGUACUUUCAGCGGGGAGGAAGGCGACGCGGUUAAUAACCGCGUCGAUUGACGUUACCCGCAGAAGAAGCACCGGCUAACACCGUGCCAGCAGCCGCCGCCG
rnacentral:rRNA from 1 species